AUCGUCUUUUGAUGUCCCGCAUAAAAGAUAAUGCCUGCCCAGUGAAAAACUUUAAACGGCCGCGUUAGCGUGAGCGUGCUAAGGUAGCGUAGUAAAUAGCCCCUUAAUUGGGGGCCAGUGAAUGGCAAGACUAGGAACAUUUGUACCUUUUAUACCACAAAAACUUUUCAUCUGAGUGAAAAGACUCAGAUAAUAGAGGAAGACGAAAAGACCCCGCGGAGCUUUACCUCAUCCAAUCCCACGCCUACAAGCACAAGAAAUAAGAGGUUUGAUUGGGGCAAUCUCGGAACCAACCAAGCUUCCGACUUUAUUACAGAAAAAUAUAAAACUUAAUAAGGACAAAAAAGAAGCUACCCCGGGGAUAACAGCGUAAUCCAACUUGAGAGUACACAUCGAAAGUUGGGUUUGCGACCUCGAUGUUGGCUUAAGGAUAUCCACACUAGUGCAACCGCUAUGGCAGGACAGUCUGUUCGACUAUNUCACCCUUACAU
rnacentral:rRNA from 1 species